UGCUGGUAUCUACAUGGAGAUAUCUAAUUGAAGCAUCGAGAUCAUCGAUAUGCUAGUAUCUUGCAGAUCUUACUCUUCAUCCUUAAAUCUAGAUCUCUUCUUUCAGAUAUCUAAGAAGGAGAUCACUACAUGAACUCUUUCGCACAGAUUCGACGGGAUCUGAACCAGAUCACCAUGAAGAGAAGAAGAACCCUUCUUUCUUUCUUCUUCUCUCUCUUUUAUCUUCUUAGAUCUGAUCACCAUCAAAUCUGGGCAUUGGAUAAAGGGGAGAAAGUAAGA
rnacentral:lncRNA from 1 species